UACGGGGGGGGUAAGCGUUGUUCGGAAUUACUGGGCGUAAAGGGCUCGUAGGCGGCCAACUAAGUCAGACGUGAAAUCCCUCAGCUUAACUGGGGAACUGCGUCUGAUACUGGAUGGCUUGGAUUGGGAGAGGGAUGCGGAAUUCCAGGUGUAGCGGUGAAAUGCGUAGAUAUCUGGAGGAACACCGGUGGCGAAGGCGGCAUCCUGGACCAAUAUUGACGCUGAGGAGCGAAAGCCAGGGGAGCAAAGCGGG
rnacentral:rRNA from 1 species